GAUGAACGCUGGCGGCGUGCCUAAUACAUGCAAGUCGAGCGAACGGACGAGAAGCUUGCUUCUCUGAUGUUAGCGGCGGACGGGUGAGUAACACGUGGAUAACCUACCUAUAAGACUGGGAUAACUUCGGGAAACCGGAGCUAAUACCGGAUAAUAUUUUGAACCGCAUGGUUCAAAAGUGAAAGACGGUCUUGCUGUCACUUAUAGAUGGAUCCGCGCUGCAUUAGCUAGUUGGUAAGGUAACGGCUUACCAAGGCAACGAUGCAUAGCCGACCUGAGAGGGUGACCGGGCACAUAGGGACCGAGAGACGGCCGAGACUCCUCCGGGAGGCAGAAGUGUGGAAUGGUGCAGAAUGGGCGGAAGCCGGAUGCAGCAAAGACGUGUGAGGGAUGACGGCCGUCGGGUGGUAAACCGGUCUAGCCGCUGAAGAAGCGUGAGAGCCGGGAAUGGGUAAAGAAGCACCGGCUAACUACGCG
rnacentral:rRNA from 1 species